CACGUGGUUAGCCGUGGCUUAUUCAAGAGGUACCGUCUUCUGCUCUUCCCUCUUAAAAGAAGUUUACAACCCGAAAGCCUUCUUCCUUCACGCGGCGUUGCUGGGUCAGGCUUGCGCCCAUUGCCCAAUAUUCCCCACUGCUGCCUCCCGUAGGAGUCUGGGCCGUAUCUCAGUCCCAAUGUGGCCGGUCAACCUCUCAGUCCGGCUACUGAUCGUCGCCUAGGUGGGCCGUUACCCCGCCUACUAGCUAAUCAGACGCGAGGCCAUCUUCCAGCGAUAAAUCUUUGACAUUCAAACCAUGCGAUUCAAAUGUGUCAUGCGGUAUUAGCAGUCGUUUCCAACUGUUGUCCCCCUCUGGAAGGCAGGUUCCUCACGCGUUACUCACCACGUCCGCCACUAAGCAUUCCUCUCCAUUGUACCGAAAACUCUUUCGAAGGGUCGCUCCGUUCGACUUGCAUGUGUUAAGCACGCCGCCAGUCCGUCGUUCCGUCGUAGCCGUAGGACGUACAAACUCUACGU
rnacentral:rRNA from 1 species